rnacentral:rRNA from 1 species
UACGGGGGGGGCAAGCGUUGUUCGGAAUUACUGGGCGUAAAGGGUUUGUAGGUGGCUUGCUAAGUCAGACGUGAAAUCCCUCAGCUUAACUGGGGAACUGCGUCUGAGACUGGCGAGCUUGAGUGCAGGAGAGGAACGCGGAAUUCCAGGUGUAGCGGUGAAAUGCGUAGAUAUCUGGAGGAGCACCGGUGGCGAAGGCGGCAUCCUGGACCGGCAUUGACGCUGAGGCGCGAAAGCUAGGGGAGCAAACGGG